rnacentral:rRNA from 1 species
CCUACGGGGGGCAGCAGUGAGGAAUAUUGGUCAAUGGGCGCGAGCCUGAACCAGCCAAGUCGCGUGAGGGAAGACGGUCCUAUGGAUUGUAAACCUCUUUUGUCGGGGAGCAAAAGACGCCACGUGUGGCGUUCCGAGAGUACCCGAAGAAAAAGCAUCGGCUAACUCCGUGCCAGCAGCCGCGGUAAUACGGAGGAUGCGAGCGUUAUCCGGAUUUAUUGGGUUUAAAGGGUGCGCAGGCGGAAUGUCAAGUCAGCGGUAAAAUUUCGGGGCUCAACCCCGUCGUGCCGUUGAAACUGGCGUUC